CCCGCCGCCCGGGGGGGGCUCGCGCUUCCCGCCGCCCGGGGGGGGCUCGCGCUUCCCGCCGCCCGGGGCUCCAUUCCCUCACGGCCCUCUGAAGGCGCUGCAGCCCCUUGCAGUGAGUAAGAAGUGGAUUGACUCCUGAUGGUCACCUGUUGGUCACAUGCACCGAGUUUGUUACCUCUCACUGCAAGGGUGUGGGAGCGUCAUGCUGCUUUGGAUAGCUUUCACCUGAAUACAUAGUAGCAGCCACCACUUACAGCUGACCUACUGGCCUCAGCACUUGAAGUGGCACAUCCGGAAUUCUUUGGGAAGUGUGACAGUGCUCUGCUUCCAUGCACACCCAUGCUGGCCAUCGGCUACAUCAGCGCUGCUGUGAAGGAGCUUUGGCUCCUGCUCUCAGUGAAAAUACUGCAGCAGCUCCUGCUUGCUCCAGUGGAGAAGAACAGACAUUUCCUUGGGUGAUUCCUGCAAACAUAAAUCCACUGUAGUAUCCAUCCAGCACAGGAAUAUUCUAAGCGUGGAGAAACAAUGCGACUCAUUAACAGUGUGACUUUUCAAUUGUAAGAAUUGCUGCAUGCAGGAGUACAAAUCCUGCUGUACUCUGUGGAGGUAUAAUUGUGAAUGCAACGUGUACAGUAUCAGUAUCGGAGGAAAAGCAUACAUACAGGUAAUUUGGGUAUUUUCAUUUAUUUGCGGAGGUUCUUGUCCCGUGUGACUGAUGGAUGACAGUCAUCUUGUACAAUGAUGUAAUGUGUUGACAGUUCAGUCCUAAGAUACAUCUAGAACUCCAUAAUUCAGUGGGAAUUCUGAGCACUUAGUAUUUCUUCA